rnacentral:lncRNA from 1 species
AGGCGCGGCGAGGCGGGUGGCGCGCGGCAGCAGGGUUGGGCUCUCGCCGUGAGUCGACGAAGGGAGCGCGGGCGCGCGCCCGCGUCCGCGCACUGAGAGUCGCCUCGGCCGCUCGCUUUCUCGACUCCCGCCUCGCGCCUCGAUCCUGUUCCGCCUCCCUCGGCCCUCCUGCCCGCCCCCACUCGUCGGCCCUCAGGUUCCUGGAAAGUGAAAAUUUCAUUUCUUUGUGGACAGGUACCUAAAAUGUCUCAUUAUUCAUCAAUUAAUGAAAAACAAAUGAAAAUUUGAGAGAGAUAUUCUGAAGAAUAAAAGGAUCAAGUUGGGUCAUUUCUAAAAUCUCAGAGACCUAAUAGGAUGGGGUCUUAGAGAAACAUCUUUUGAGCCACAGACUUCUUUGUUACCAGAAGGAAAAUGAAAGAAGAAAUUUAAAUACCACUUGAAGAGAGGUGCUGCCCAGUUCAUGAGUGCUGCUGCUGUCCUGCCCAAGUACCCAGCUUGCAGAGUGCCAGAGUUAGAGUCCCAGGGGUGUUCUCCACAGCUGCAUGCUUGAUCCAGGCCUAUCAGGUGUUAUUUGUUGACGGAACCAGGCAUCAUCAGCAAACAAAACUGACAAAGCUUCCUGCCCUCUGUGGAAGGCAUCUGAGGAAGAGACUGGAUUUUGUAGCAACAUGUUAUUCUCAUUAUAAACUUUAUCAUUGGAAUACUAAAGCCAAAUCAUCCCCCAUCUCCUUGAUCAGGAUACCCACUUAAUCUAGGCAGCUACACAAUUGUGAGAGCCUUUGUUUUUUUCUGCUGAAACAUCCUUAAAAAGAUACCUCACAACCCAAGAUUUGGCUUUUCUUAAAUACGAUUUUUAAUUUUUUUCAUUUCUAUCUAGAGAUUUAAUUGGAAAUGGAAAAUCAUCAAUUUUCCAAUUAAAUGUCUGUUCCAAUCAACAUUAUACCUUUUAGGUUGUCAUUGUCAUUUUUAAGUUUAAGCAACUUUAAGGAUUUUGAAUCUGGCUGCCUGUAAAUUAAAGGUGAAAGUAAUCAUUGUGUUGGAUUGGAACAUUUUGUCAAUUGAGAGUGGUUUCCUUGUUCUUAGUGUAUGAAAAGUUUAUUUUUCUAAUGUAGAUUAAUAAAGGAGAUAAAGAAAAACAAAA